rnacentral:lncRNA from 1 species
AGUGAGGCUCCCUGCUCAGCUCCUGGGGCUGCUAAUGCUCUGGGUCCCUGGAUGCUGUGAUGACCCAACCUCCACUCUCCCUGCCCAUCACCCCUGGAGAGCCAGCCUCCAUCUCCUGCAGGUCUAGUCACAGCCCCCUUCACAGUAAUGGAUACAUCUAUUUCAACUGGUACCUACAGAAGACAGGCCAGCCUCCUUGGCUCCCAAUCUAUUUGGUUUCCAAUCACGACCCUGGAGUCCCAGACAGGUUCAGUGGCAGUGGGUUGGGGACAGAUUUCAUGCUGAAAUCAGGAGGAUGGAUGCUGAGGAUGUUGGGGUUUAUUGCUGCCAGCAAAGUACACAUUAUCCUCC